rnacentral:rRNA from 1 species
UACAGGGGGUGCAAACGUUGCUCGGAAUCAUUGGGCGUAAAGCGCACGUAGGCGGUUCGUUAUGUCGGAUGUGAAAGCCCUUGGCUUAACCGAGGAAGUGCAUCCGAAACUGGCGAGCUAGAGUACUAAAGAGGAUCGCGGAAUUCCCGGUGUAGAGGUGAAAUUCGUAGAUAUCGGGAGGAACACCGGUGGCGAAGGCGGCGAUCUGGGUAGAUACUGACGCUGAGGAGCGAAAGCGUGGGGAGCGAACAGGA